CAUUCAAUUCUGUGAUUUAGAGAAUUAUAGCAACAGCUCCAGGUGAAUAAUUUGUAUUCAGAUUUGGAAAGGAAACUACAUUACUAGGUCCUUUCACUUAGUCUUUGAGAAUAGUGUUUUCUAAAUGCUAAUCUGAAGCAUUCAAUUAUAAUAGAAUGUCAGGGAUUUUUUUUUUUUUUUUUUUUUUUUAAGUACAACGUUGUAUCAAGGGGACACAGGUUUUCCUCUUGGUUUGCUCCCAAAUCCUGUCCCUCAGUGUCUAACAACCUUGACCAGCCAGGGCACAUAUCAUGCCCACUCGUCUCUUCCAGGGGAAUUGUCUUUCUACCACAUAUAUGUGGAC
rnacentral:lncRNA from 1 species